AGUGAGCGCUGGCGGUAGGCCUAACACAUGCAAGUCGAACGGCAGCACAGUAAGAGCUUGCUCUUACGGGUGGCGAGUGGCGGACGGGUGAGGAAUACAUCGGAAUCUACUUUUUCGUGGGGGAUAACGUAGGGAAACUUACGCUAAUACCGCAUACGACCUACGGGUGAAAGCAGGGGAUCUUCGGACCUUGCGCGAUUGAAUGAGCCGAUGUCGGAUUAGCUAGUUGGCGGGGUAAAGGCCCACCAAGGCGACGAUCCGUAGCUGGUCUGAGAGGAUGAUCAGCCACACUGGAACUGAGACACGGUCCAGACUCCUACGGGAGGCAGCAGUGGGGAAUAUGGGACAAUGGGCGCAAGCCUGAUCCAGCCAUACCGCGUGGGUGAAGAAGGCCUUCGGGUUGUAAAGCCCUUUUGUUGGGAAAGAAAAGCAGCAGGUUAAUACCCCGCCGUUCUGACGGUACCCAAAGAAUAAGCACCGGCUAACUUCGUG
rnacentral:rRNA from 1 species